AACGAACGCUGGCGGCAUGCCUAACACAUGCAAGUCGAACGAGACCUUCGGGUCUAGUUGCGCACGGGUGCGUAACGAGUGGGAACCUGCCCUUAGGUUAGGAAUAACUCCCCGAAAGGGGUGCUAAUACAGGAUAAUGUCUUCGGGCCUAAGAUUUCUCGCCUUGGGGUGGGCCCUCGUUGGUUUAGCGAGUUGGUAGGGUAAAAGCAUGCCAAUGCGAGGUUCCAUAGCUGGUCUGAGAGGAUGAGAAACCACACUGGGCCUAAGACACGGACCAGUCCGGGACGGGACACAGGAGAAGCGAAUAUUGGAAAAUGGGCCAAAGUCUGACCAAGCAGUGCGGGGUAAGAGGGGAAGGCGGUAGGAUUGUAAAGCUGUGUGACCCGGGGUGAGAGUGACGGUACUGGGAGAAUAAGCUCCGGCUAACUACGUG
rnacentral:rRNA from 1 species